GCUGCAGUGCAAUGGCUCUAUCUUGGCUCACUGCAACUUCCACCUUCUGGGUAAAAGUGAUUCUCCUGCCUCAGCCUCCCAGUAGCUGGGAUUACCGGCACCCACCACCAUGCCUGGCUAAUUUUUGUAUUUUUAGUAGAGACGGGGAUUUGCCAUGUUGGCCAGGCUGGUCCCAAACUCCUGACCUCAGGUGAUCUGCCUGCCUUGGCCUCCCAAAAUGCUGGGAUUACAGGCGUAAGCCACCAUGCCCGGCCUGCCUAGCAGGUUUGAAAGUGUGAAAGGACUCCAGUGGCUGGAGUGGAAGUGAGGAAGAGGGAGAGCUCCUGGGCACCAGAAUGAAUGGGGAGGGUCCUUUAGGGCACUGUGAGGCCAUUAGCUUUUACUCCUACUGAGACUGGACAUCCCAGGAGAGUUUCAGAGCAGAGAAGUGCUAUGACUGCUCUUGAAGUUUAAGAGGACCAGGUGGCUGGCUUUGCUGUGUGUCAGAGAACAGGAGCAGAAACAGGGAGACCAGCUGGGAGGUGACUGCAAAAGUCCAGGUGAGAGGCGAUGGAGCUAGUGAGGAGUGCCGGAGGCCUGGUGUAUUCUGACGAGUGGUGUCCAGUGAAUCUUUCAAAGAAUGAUACUGAGCUUCAUUGUUGAUGAACAAAAAUGCAAAUCUCACCCAGAGCAUGCAGGAACAUGCUAUAAUCACUACACUCCUAGAAUGUGAUCUCUUUCAAUAUUGACUGCAUCCAUGCCUUCCACACACUUGCACCAGUUGGGAGGAUGGAGAUGUCAUCUGGGCAGAGGGAGAAGAGCAGUACCAUUCAGAGGUCUGUCCCUCUUAAGAUAUAUUCUCUCUGUCAACCUAGAACUCAAAGGGCUGUGUGAAAAGUUUACUGUGGAAAAAGAAAUUGAAAAAACUGCCACUAAGUAGCAAUGGAAGGACUUUUCCCGCUAAGAUGAGGAACUGCUCAGAUCACCAGCUGCUUCAGGUUACCAGCCCACACCUGUCUGUCUCACCUCUGACAACCUUGGUAAAGAAACCAAGGCUUAGAGACCUGCUCACAGUCGUUUCGUGAGGGAAUGCAACAUCUGGGUCUAGGGUCCAAAUCUAUCUCUGCUGUGAAGAGGAACUCAUACAGGAGAUCUACAUGAUUACCAAUUCUUGGCCUUGCAGUGGAGGGAUUUGUCCUUACAGUGCUGUGGAAACUGGUGAAGAGGUCUGAGUUUGGAUAUAAAGCUGUAGUUUCUGGCCUGGUGCUGGCACCUGAAGUCCACAGACAGCUGGGCAAAGAAGAUGGAUGGGAAGCAGAGGAAGAAAAGGCAAGCUGAAUGAAGGAGAAACUGGUGCCUUCCAUCAUGGAGCUAAAUAUGCAUCUGGUCCAGGAUUCAGGGAAAUUGAUGCAGCAGGAGGAUCUGGCAGGAGCCCAGCUGCUGCCCCUCACCAACAAGCACCUCCUCCAAACUGAAGCAUAACCUCAUUUCUACCCCAAUGUGGCACACACUGUUGAUACUGAGAGAUGCAAUGCAACUAGCUCCGUGUGGCAAGUCUGUAGGAUCCCACAAAUUACCGGGAGUACAGAAGUUCUGGUCCAUUCUCAGAAGAAUUCUCUAACCAAGGAAAACCAAAAUCAUGUUAUUGCCAUCACUGACAGUUCCAACUGCACCUGAGCACUGCUCUUCACUGUCUUACCCUGAAGUUUAAACCCUAGAUUGAGCACCAACCUGUGCCCCCAUCUUAAAAUCUCAUUAAAUAUCUAAUUCAUUCUUCGGCUUUCCCAUAUUAAAAUAACUUAUUACACACUCAAGCAUCAGUUGCUUGUUUACCUCACACUG
rnacentral:lncRNA from 10 species